rnacentral:misc_RNA from 1 species
GAAAUGCGAUAAGUAAUGUGAAUUGCAGAAUUCAGUGAAUCAUCGAAUCUUUGAACGCACAUUGCGCCCUCUGGUAUUCCGGGGGGCAUGCCUGUUCGAGCGUCAUUACACCAUUCAAGCUCUCCUGCUUGGUGUUGGGUCGCAUGUCUCCCAGUUGAGAUGUGGGCCUCAAAAUCAGUGGUGAUGCCCCUUCGGCUUCAAGCGUAGUGGAAUAUUUCUCGUUUGGAUAGUCUGAUGGGUGCCUGUUCCACCAGAACUGAUGAUUGUCAUCACUUCUAAGUUUGACCUCGAAUCAGGUAGGGAUACCCGCUGAACUUAA